AAUUGGUUACAUGUAGCUCAAAAGCCACAUAUGCCAUGUGUUACUUUCUACUUGUUGCUUAUCCAACUCCAACCACGUAAACUAGAGGCGUUGUUUGGUCUCUGUGCACAUGAUGAAAUCGAAUGGUGAAAGGUGGUGAAACACAUGGGCUAUAAUGGGGUGCUAUUUUAGAGCAGAAAGCCACUCUUGAGCCAGAGUCAAUUCAGAACCACCUUUUGAUAGGGAUUCCAGCUCCACUUGCAGUUUUUGAAGGGUUCAGAUUAUUGGGUCUGUAAACUUUGGAGUGUGACAUCCGGAGAGAAUCUCAAUCCAUGGUUUUUACUAUUAGAUUUCAACGAUUAGGAAGAUCUAAUAGCAACUUUUUUUGUUUGUUUUAUUCUUACCUCCUACACUCUUGUUUAUCUUACCAUACCUCAUGUAUUCAUCAUUUGUGUCUCUCUCAAUCCCAUUUCGUCAACUAAGUUAAGAGAGACAUUAAUUCCGCUGAUAUGUCAAUAACUAUCUGGUUUUUUCAGCAAUGAUACUGGAGAUAGGUCAAAUGAAUUGUGAGUUUUAAUGACAAAUUGUCAAUCUUUGAGAGGUUGAGCCAUUUAGGAUAGUCAUGGAGUGAACUUGGGGUAAUGUUGGCGAGGUUUUGGUUUUGCUCUAUUCCAAGGUUGUUUUUGCUAUUUCAUAUAUUUCUAAAUGUGAAAAUGGGUUGGAAAGUCCAAAGAGCCUUUGUCUCGCCAAUGAAAGAUGAAUACAUUGAGUAAAGUGAGACAUAACAGAGUAUACGGGGUAAUGUGCGAUUUUGUAAGAGUACAUGGUUGACUUCAAUGCUACCGGGUGAGCAUCGACUCGAAGCCUCCUCUGGCGCCGGUGGUUCAGCAACCGAUAACGAUGCAGCCGCCCAGGUCGUCUUGUUCAUUUCCGGUUCAGUCGAUGGCGACGAUGAUCGGGCAGAAGCUGGUGGGGUCCGCUGCUUAUGAGCAGUUCGUGCUGACGCGAUGCAAGUCCGAGCCACUGAGGUCGGUGCCUAAGCUUGCGGUGGCGCCGGAGACGUGUUUUUGGAAGAAUAGGAAGCUGGAGCCGCACAGGCAGGCUGCGAUGGGAGUCGGCGCGGCUGGGGUAGGGUUUUGAGCCGGAGGUAAUUAAUUUGGAUUGUGAAAAAAAAAGAAAGAAAAAUUGAAAUGUAUGUAGGAAGUUUGCACUCUAUUUUCGUUUGUACAUUUUUAUGUAGUGAUUUUGUAUAAAUUCAUUUUUAUGUUUGCUCUUAUAAAUAUAUUUAUGAUUUAUUUUA